GCGUUCCUUCUACGAUCUGUUUUGUUUAUUAUUUGUUAACAAUUGCCAUGGAAGGACUUUAAAAGAGAUUCGAUACUGCGUCGUUUAAGAAGUUGCAAGGUCUAGAAUGUUCACUAUCCGUAUGGUAUUGGCUUUGUUGCAGAGAAUAGCGAUUCUGACAAUUGAUGAUAGCAGAUAAAAUACUCCUGUAUUCAUCAAUAAGUUUCAUUUUUGCAAAUAAUUAAAAAUAAUUGAUUUCAC